AGCUCAGCUGUCAUCCAGAAGAGACAGAGGCUCCCGGCUGCUCUCAGUGCUCUCCACUCUCUGUGGGGAAAGGAGCUGAACUCAGAGGCAGCCAUCCUGAGGCCACUUUUAGGAGUGGGAGGCAGCUGCUAACCCUCCCACCUCCCUCUGAAGUGAUGGGGCCUGGGCAAAACAUGCCUGUCUAAAGGUGAGGACUACUCCAUCCCUCCUGACCUCCUCGGUUGUCAUGGCCAGAGAUGGGGGCAUGUGGCCCAAUGCCCUCAUGGA
rnacentral:lncRNA from 1 species